UACGUAGGGUCCGAGCGUUAAUCGGAAUUACUGGGCGUAAAGCGUGCGCAGGCGGUUUUGUAAGGCAGAUGUGCAAGCCCCGGGCUUAACCUGGGAAUGGCAUUUGGGACUGCAUGGCUGGAGUGCGGCAGAGGGGGAUGGAAUUCCGCGUGUAGCAGUGAAAUGCGUAGAUAUGCGGAGGAACACCGAUGGCGAAGGCAAUCCCCUGGGCCUGCACUGACGCUCAUGCAAGAAAGCGUGGGGAGCAAAAAGG
rnacentral:rRNA from 1 species